GUUUGAUCCUGGCUCAGGACGAACGCUGGCGGCGUGCCUAAUACAUGCAAGUCGAACGAAGCUUUCUUUCACCGAAUGCUUGCAUUCACCGAAAGAAAACUUAGUGGCGAACGGGUGAGUAACACGUAGGCAACCUGCCCAAAAGAGGGGGAUAACACUUGGAAACAGGUGCUAAUACCGCAUAACCAUGAACACCGCAUGAUGUUCAUGUAAAAGACGGCUUUUGCUGUCACUUUUGGAUGGGCCUCGCGGCGUAUUAACUUGUUGGUGGGGUAACGGCCUACCAAGGUGAUGAUACGUAGCCGAACUGAGAGGUUGAUCGGCCACAUUGGGACUGAGACACGGCCCAAACUCCUACGGGAGGCAGCAGUAGGGAAUCUUCCACAAUGGACGAAAGUCUGAUGGAGCAACGCCGCGUGAAUGAAGAAGGCCUUCGGGUCGUAAAAUUCUGUUGUCAGAGAAGAACGUGCGUGAGAGUAACUGUUCACGUAUUGACGGUAUCUGACCAGAAAGCCACGGCUAACUACGUGCCAGCAGCCGCGGUAAUACGUAGGUGGCAAGCGUUGUCCGGAUUUAUUGGGCGUAAAGGGAACGCAGGCGGUCUUUUAAGUCUGAUGUGAAAGCCUUCGGCUUAACCGAAGUAGUGCAUUGGAAACUGGAAGACUUGAGUGCAGAAGAGGAGAGUGGAACUCCAUGUGUAGCGGUGAAAUGCGUAGAUAUAUGGAAGAACACCAGUGGCGAAAGCGGCUCUCUGGUCUGUAACUGACGCUGAGGUUCGAAAGCGUGGGUAGCAAACAGGAUUAGAUACCCUGGUAGUCCACGCCGUAAACGAUGAGUGCUAAGUGUUGGAGGGUUUCCGCCCUUCAGUGCUGCAGCUAACGCAUUAAGCACUCCGCCUGGGGAGUACGGUCGCAAGACUGAAACUCAAAGGAAUUGACGGGGGCCCGCACAAGCGGUGGAGCAUGUGGUUUAAUUCGAAGCAACGCGAAGAACCUUACCAGGUCUUGACAUCUUCUGACAAUUCCAGAGAUGGAACGUUCCCUUCGGGGACAGAAUGACAGGUGGUGCAUGGUUGUCGUCAGCUCGUGUCGUGAG
rnacentral:rRNA from 1 species